CCAAGGUUGGCCGAUCGGUUUAGGCAGCGGACUCAUAAUCCGCGAGCGGAAGCUCUAGACAGGUUCGAUUCCUGUACCUUGGA
rnacentral:tRNA from 2 species